UUUAAUGUAGAGUUAGGCUUCUCACCUAA
rnacentral:piRNA from 1 species